UACGGAGGGAGCUAGCGUUGUUCGGAAUUACUGGGCGUAAAGCGCGCGUAGGCGGCUUUGUAAGUUAGAGGUGAAAGCCCGGAGCUCAACUCCGGAACUGCCUUUAAAACUGCAUCGCUUGAAUCCAGGAGAGGUGAGUGGAAUUCCGAGUGUAGAGGUGAAAUUCGUAGAUAUUCGGAGGAACACCAGUGGCGAAGGCGGCUCACUGGUCCAUUACUGACGCUGAGGUGCGAAAGCGUGGGGAGCAAACAGG
rnacentral:rRNA from 1 species